CUGACGAACCUCCCCUCUCAACUGCUCGCUCUCUAACUUUGCUUUUUGCAGUACCUUUUGAAUUUUUUAUAGCCAUAUUUUGCUUUGCUUCUGUUAAUUCUUUAAUCUCAGUAUUUAGAAAAAGGUUUCUUUAGUUUGCAUACAUUCUCUCUCUGUUUUUUUUUUUUUUCUAGCUCCAAAAAAACCUGGACUCCCACAAGGAAGAACCAUUAAUGUGGCACCACUUCCUCCUCCCCCCUUUUUUUGGCAUCUUCUUAAACUUGAAGAACUACACUGUAUAAUGAGAAUGGGACACUGUAACAUCAGCGAUGGAAUAUGUGCACUUCCUUCCGCUGUCCAAAGGGAGCGCUUUCCAAACAUUUGGUGCUGACUGGGUGUAACAGCAACUCCAUGUGGAAGGUUUCUUAUGUCUUCCAGUGGAGCUGCUGUUGCGUGCAGAUAGUCACCUUUAUCUCUUUUGGUUCUGAGUUCAAAUACAGUCGUAAUGAAUGAUCUGCAAUUAUUAAUUAUGUGGCUGUAAAUUUAUUUGCAUGUUGUUAGAAAGCAUGUUUAAACCAGUGUCUGGGACACAGGGUGAUGACCUAUGAAUUGACAGCCAGUGUUUGCAGUCCAGCUGCCUGUCAGUUCUGUAGGCCACUGUCCUGUUUAUCCUACUAAACACACACUGAUUUGCACAGAGAAUGCAGGGCGUUGUAUAAAUGUUGGACUAGAAUUUUUUUUGGGAACAUUUAUGUCAAGGCUAUACUACAACAUGAUUUAUUUUAUAUUAUGUUUAUUUGUUUUAUUUUCACUGCAUUUAAUUUCAUUUGAACAUUAAAUUAUUUCAAAAUCAA